UGAUACCAUAUGUAUUGGGUUACCAGGUACCUCAGCAUACCAUGUUACCACCAUACUGAGGUAUUGAUACCAUAUGUAUUGGGUUACCAGGUACCUCAGCAUACCAUGUUACCACCAUACUGAGGUAUUGAUACCAUAUGUAUUGGGUUACCAGGUACCUCAGCAUACCAUAUGACCACCAUACUGAGGUAUUGAUACCAUAUGUAUUGGGUUACCAGGUACCUCAGCAUACCAUAUUACCACCAUACUGAGGUAUUGAUACCAUAUGUAUUGGGUUACCAGGUACCUCAGCGUACCAUAUUACCACCAUACUGAGGUAUUGAUACCAUAUGUAUUGGGUUACCAGGUACCAUAUGACCACCAUACUUACUGUAGGUGCUGAUACCAUCCAUAUUUAUUGCGAUUCUCACCAUUUUGUAUGCAUUGCGAUUGGAUACUGUGAUUUUAUUGUGAUUCCCGUUGUCCAGACGUAUAAUAACAUGUAAAUAGCCUGAUAUGUAACUAUUGAUUCCCCCUCCGUCACUACAAUGUUUUAUGGUUUUAUCUUUAUACUGUCUUAUUACACACUUUGUUUACUAUAUUAGAAUGUAU
rnacentral:lncRNA from 1 species